GUUUGUUUGUUUGUUUUCUUUCAAUGGCAAAUGAUGCUUAAAAUACCACAGUCAGAACUGCUCCUCUGGCAUUGUUAGUGCUUGCUGUGUUCUUCAUCUACAGUUUCUGAGGAUGAAAAUGAGUCUUAAACAUCUCAAAUAGCUGACAAGGUAAUACUAGCAAAUCACGAAUGAGUGAUUGAUUUAUGAAUUUGUGUAAGUAUGGCCACUGGACACCUCCCUGUCUGUGUACGUGUGUGCCCUGCCUUGCCAGGUACAACCUCACUCAUGGAAUAAUAUUUUUUCUAUGCCUGCUGCAAGCGCCACACAGAGGAGCCUCAUUGCUCUGCAGAGACUGUGCCAUGAAAAACAAACACUGACACCCAAACUCUUCCAGCAGUUAAACCAAGCGUGAGUUUAUGGUAACUGAGCUUCCAGGGGCAGCAAGCACCAUGGCCCAAACAGGAAAUUUGAAGUCUAAUUUUGCUAGGCAAUGUGUGAGUACAGAACUGAUUGACACCUGGGUGCCUCUGCUCUCUGAGUAAUGAUUCCAAAAGGCCAGUGCUUACAUUCAGACAUAAUUUCUAUACCGUGCCUUUGACAGGCAGAUGAAGGCAGGUGUGACCAUGAGACCGGCUGGCUUCCAUUUGCACUACCAGCUGCUGCCAUACCAGUGCAGUGGAGCCACAUUGAACUGGUGCUUGGAGCUGUGGCCAGGUAAGGCUUUCAGCAUCGGCUGUGCAAGGGGAGGCUGCUACCAGUCUGGGAGGUGCUGCAUGCAAACAGGUACUCUGAGGGGAAUGCACUGCUGGCGUGUGGGCACACAUAGGAGGUGUGUGAGGCUGGGGUGGUGCAUGCACUGCUGGAGUGAGUCCUCACUGCAGCAAGGCUGUGCUGGGACACCAGGGAGGCAUCACCAUGAGUUAGAGUGGUCCCAAGAAUGCUGUCACUUGCAAGCUUUGGAUGUGUCCUCUCCCAUCUUUGCCCUCAGUCCCCUUCACAAGUGAUAUGCCUAUUAAUUUAAAAGGAAAGAAAAAAGAUUGCAAGUCCUGAUAUGAUGUUUUUCUUUACCAAGUGAAAUGCUGAAAGCAUUAAAUGUGUAAAGUGAGGGAUGUUGUGAAACGGUUGAGGAAUGGCUUUACGUGCAGCACGUAUUUGUUGUAUUUGUUGUCAGCAGUAGCCACACUGCUGACAGCUGAUGAUGGUUUGCCAUUGGCUCUGGAUGUGGAAAAGUGGUCUCAAUGACAGCAAACAAAUAGAUUCCUUACAAUCAGAUCAAGGCCACGGACUCUUAGCAUGAUUGCUGUGACAAGGCCCUGUUUUUUGCAACAUGAUCCAUGUAUACAAAUCCCACAUGGAGCAGAAGACAAGACAGUAUUUAUUUGACAUUUCAGUUGAGAAGGAGAAUAAGCGUGUUCUGUACUCAUCUUUUUUUUUCAGCAAAAACAAUUAACUUUGGAACAAGGGCUUUGAUCGCUAUCUCUGACAUCACCUUUACACUGAUGUGAUCCUAUAGGCUGCCGUGGGGUCAUUGCUGAUUCACACUGGUGUGAGCAGGGAACAAACAGGCUCUGUGCUUAUGGGGCAGUGAAGGUGUUUAUGUUCUGUGAAAAGAAAGAAAAUCGGUUACACAUCUUAAGGGGUAAAUAAGUUAACCAAGAAAUUCAGAUGGAGCCAAAAGCAUUAUAAGCAAGGAUACUGCAAGAAUGUUCUAACUGUACUGCUAGUUUAAAAAUAUACAUAGCCUAAUUAAGUAAAGAUUGACUUAGCUAUAAAUAUGUACGGUGAUCUUUUUCGUUUUCAAGCUCUAAUUGACAUCCAAAGGUGAGCAGUGGAAUAUCUCACUGGAACUUUCAGGGUUUCAGUGUGCCGUAUCUUACCGCCUUUGUUGAGAUCCUUGCAUGAACGUCAAUUUCCUUUCCGUUUCAAACAAUGUUAUGCAGCAUGAGAAUAAAUGAACUCUAAGGACUACAAUUACAGGCUAACUGGUGUGAAAGCAGCAGUGAAUGCUCACCCGAAUAUAGCCACAGUGAAAUCCUAGCUCUGUCUGUGUGAAGGGGAGCUGACCUUUGUACGUGGGCCAAGGAUUUCACCAUUCAUGACAUUUACCAGGCACAGAUGUAUUUUUUUACAUGUCAAGGUAGAAUCAAGUCUUUCAAUGUCCUUCUCUUUGUGCUCGUUUUAUGCUACUGAUGCUAUUAUACCCUCAGUUUCCAGAGGAUGUCAGACUCCCAGGAAGGUAACUUGUUUUGAUUGGCGGUAAAGUUUACCAACAUUACACUUGAGAUGGUGUGGGCCUAAUCAUAUCACAGGAGCUCUGGUGUACUCAGCACACAGCUGGGAACGGGCCCAGGCAGCCCUACCAGCCAGCAAGGUGAGCCACUGCAUCAUCCCCGCCAGCAGUACGGCCACAGGUGGCAUUUUAGGGAGUGCUUUUCAUCCAAAAAGGAAAGAAAUGGGGAACCAGUGAAACCUAAAUCUGGGUAACUGUCAUAUGUCCGUACUGGAAAAUUAAUUCUGAUGACUCCAUGUACAACUCUUUCUGUUCAGUGCCAUUUCUAUUUGGUCUUUACUAAUAACAUGUGGUGUGUCUUACCGAGUGGCCAGGCAUAUAUCAGAAAGGCUCUGUGUAAUAACUAGGCAACAAAAACUUUUAGAACCAGGCCAGUUUUGCAAUAGCUGCGGCAUUUCCCUAAUAAACCCCAACUCACUGCCUACUUUAUUAAAUGACAAGCUUCUCCUGUAAGCCACGCGUGUGGUUAUGUUAAAUAUUGCCCUGCAUUUAACAGUGUGCUACUUUCCUGUCCUACUCUCCCAAGCAUAAUAGGAGCUGCGGCAUUCAUUUAACCUGGGUGGAACUGACGGCUGCACUUGUUGUUCCAGAAGGUGCUUGGAUUCCUGCCAGCUCACUGAAGUGGGUAACCAAGGAGUAGCCUGUAGAUAUACGUGCUCAAAAGUAAACUGCACUGAGUGGUCUGAGAUGACCCAGAAUGGAAACAGUCCUUGUGCCUCUCCUUUCCGCAGAACUUCUGCUGCUGACAACAUCUUGCCAUUGCUCUUGGCGAGCAAAUGUCUCUAGCUUCUGCUCAGGGAAUGUUGGGGCUUGCUGCUGCUACACAAACUCUGGUUUUCCUAUGGAAAUGCAUACAUCUUCUGAUUAAUGUUUCCGUCGAGUUUAGUCCUGGAUAAACACGGGGUAAUGUCAGAAUUCAUCAGCAAACUUGCACAAUCCC